rnacentral:rRNA from 1 species
GACGAACGCUGGCGGCGUGCUUAACACAUGCAAGUCGAACGGAAAGGCCCUGCUUGCAGGGUACUCGAGUGGCGAACGGGCGAGUAACACGUGGGUGAUCUGCCCUGCACUUCGGGAUAAGCCUGGGAAACUGGGUCUAAUACCGGAUAGGAGCCAUUUUUAGUGUGAUGGUUGGAAAGUUUUUUCGGUGUAGGAUGAGCUCGCGGCCUAUCAGCUUGUUGGUGGGGUAAUGGCCUACCAAGGCGGCGACGGGUAGCCGGCCUGAGGGGGUGGGCGGCCACAUUGGGACUGAGGUACGGCCCAGACGCCUACGGGAGGCAGAAGUGGGGAAUAUUGCACAAUGGGCGCAAGCCUGAUGCAGCGACGCCGCGUGUGGGAUGACGGCCUUCGGGUGGUAGACUCCUAUCGCUAGGGACGAAGCUUUUUGUGACGGUACCUAGAUAAGAAGCACCGGCUAACUACGUG